AUGAAGACAGUGACUGGACCUUUGUUCCUGUGCUUCUGGCUGCAGCUGAACUGUGUGAGCAGAGGGGAGCAGGUGGAGCAGCGCCCUCCUCACCUGAGUGUCCGGGAGGGAGACAGCGCCGUUAUCAUCUGCACCUACACAGACCCUAACAGUUAUUACUUCUUCUGGUACAAGCAAGAGCCGGGAGCAGGUCUUCAGUUGCUUAUUAGUGUUCUUUCAAAUGUGGGCAGAAAAGAAGAACAAGGACUCACUCUCAUACUGAACAAGACAGACAAACAUCUCUCUCUGAACAUCACAGCUGCCCGUCCUGAGGACUCAGCCGUGUACUUCUGCGCAGCCAGUGCACAGUGCUCCCCAGGCACCUGCAGUCUGCACAUAAACCUGAGACUGGAGACAGGGGGCACAACUUUAAGAAAAUGUUUGAAGUAG